UACAGGAGGGUGCAAAGCGUUGUUCGGAAUUAUUGGGCGUAAAGGGUGCGUAGGCGGUUGACGGUAAGUCUGAUACGGUGAAAGUCUCUGGGCUCAAGCUCAGAAGUCUGCUAUAGAAACUGCCGUGCUUGAGUGUGGGAGAAGGUGAGUGGAAUUCCCGGUGUAGCGGUGAAAUGCGUAGAUAUCGGGGAGGAACACCUGUGGCGAAAGCG
rnacentral:rRNA from 1 species